rnacentral:lncRNA from 1 species
GCCAAAUCUUCGGCUUCUCAAAGCCGGUCUCAGUGGCUGUCGAUUUUUGGACACCGAGACGAGUCCCAGCUUUGCAGUGCCCGCCGGUCUCGUCUGCGGGAGGACAGCGUUCAGGUGGCAGAGCCUUGCGGCUUUGGAGAGAGGUGGAGCCUUGGUGAGGUUGGGAGGACUGCCUAACUGCGAUCUUUUUCUCCAUUCUUCCUCCUGGGAACUUCUCCGCCCUGAAAGGGUAGCGUGAGCUUCAUGCCUUCGGCCGGCCGUGUUAUACUCGUUAGACCCAAUUCACCAUGAAUCCUUUGAAAGACUAGUGGAGAGUGAGAAGGGGGUUUCAAAGUCACUGGAGUAAAGGAAUUCUCCAAGCACCACCUCAUGAUUAAUUCUUGGAAAAGCCUGUUUGCGCGGCCCUUAGAAUCAUUUUGACUUCUUGUCUAAUGGUGAAGUUUUUCUCUGUAAUCCUUCUACUCUGUUUUCUAAAACCAGAACUAAAAACCUAAAAAAUUGUAAAACUUCAUGGUGUAAUUAAAACCCCUUCACCAUUUUUUUUAA